CGUGUAGGCGGCUUGGUAAGUCAGAUGUGAAAGCCCUGGGCUUAACCCAGGAAGUGCAUUUGAAACUGCCAGGCUUGAGUAGGGGAGAGGAAGGUGGAAUUCCUGGUGUAGAGGUGAAAUUCGUAGAUAUCAGGAGGAACACCGGUGGCGAAGGCGACCUUCUGGCCCUAUACUGACGCUGAGACGCGAAAGCGUGGGUAGCAAACAG
rnacentral:rRNA from 1 species